AUUGAACGCUGGCGGCAGGCCUAACACAUGCAAGUCGAACGGUAACAGGAAGCAGCUUGCUGCUUUGCUGACGAGUGGCGGACGGGUGAGUAAUGUCUGUGAAACUGCCCGAUGGAGGGGGAUAACUACUGGAAACGGUAGCUAAUACCGCAUAACGUCGCAAGACCAAAGAGGGGGACCUUAGGGCCUCUUGCCAUCUGAUGUGCCCAGAUUGGAUUAGCUAGUAGGUUGGGUAACGGCUCACCUAGGCGACGAUCCCUAGCUGGUCUGAGAGGAUGACCAGACACACUGGAACUGAGACACGGUCCAGACUACGACGGGAGGAAGCAGUGGGGAAUAUUGCACAAUGGGCGAAAGAAUGAUGAAGCAAAGCCGCGUGUAUGAAGAAGGCCUUCGGGUUGUAAAGUACUUUCAGCGGGGAGGAAGGGAGUAAAGUUAAUACCUUUGCACAUUGACGUUACCCGCAGAAGAAGCACCGGCUAACUCCGUG
rnacentral:rRNA from 1 species